rnacentral:lncRNA from 1 species
UAUACGUGAGAGAGAGAGAGAGAGAGAGAGAGAGAGAGAGAGAGAGAGAGAGAGAGAGAGAGAGAGAGAGAGAGAGAGAGAGGGAGUGAGAGAGGAUGUGAGGGAGGGAAAAAGAGAGAAAAAGGAGAGAGUGGGAGGGAGAGGGAGAGAGAGAGAGAGAGAGAGAGAGUGUGUGUAGCAGCACAAGCAUCUCAGAGGUGGGGGCAACACAUAGUUGCGGGUCUCUGCAGAGCUUUCCUGAAAGUUGCAUGUUUAACUGGAGAUAAAGUAAUUGCUGGUUUCAAAGUGAAGAUCCAGUCUUUGUGAUGCAGUCUAAGGCAUAUUAAGGAUAUGAGAGAUGCUUAGGGGAUAGCAAGACUAUGAGAGAUACUUAGGGGAUAGCAAGACUUCUUGAAUGCUACACAUGUUUAAGGGGUUAUGAAGUGGCUAAGAUACGGUGAUGUUUUCUUGAUAUCUUUUACUUGUUUCGGCCAUUGGACUGUGGUCAUGCUGGAACACCGCCUUAAAGGGCUUAGUCGCACAAAUCGACCCCAGUACAUAUUCCAUCGGUCACUUAUGCGAAACAGCUAAUUUACGGGGACGUAAAUAAACCAAUAGCGGUUAAGUGGUGACAAACACAAAGCCAUACACAAGGCACACACACAUCUGUUUGUCUGUCUGUCUAUCUAUCUAUCUAUCUAUCUAUCUAUCUAUCUAUCUAUCUAUCUAUCUAUCUAUCUAUCUAUCUAUCUGUCUGUCUGUCUGUCUGUCUGUCUAUCUAUCUAUCUAUCUAUCUAUCUGUCUGUCUGUCUGUCUGUCUGUCUGUCUGUCUGUCUGUCUGCCUAUCUAUCUAUCUAUCUAUCUAUCUAUCUAUCUGUCUGUCUGUCUGUCUGUCUAUCUGUCUGUCUGUCUGUCUGUCUGUCUGUCUGUCUGUCUGUCUAUCUAUCUAUCUAUCUAUCUAUCUAUCUAUUUAUCUAUCUAUCUAUCUAUCCGACGGGUUUCCACGCAGAUUCAUUCACCAGGCAUUAGCCGGCCCAGGGCUGUAGUAGAGGACACUUGUCCAAAGGACCACACAGGGACACUGAACCCGAAACGCUGUGGUUGCAAAUCGGGUUUCUUUACCACAGAGCUAUGCUUCCAUCUGCGAGUAACAUUUGAAUCUGUUUCAUUUAUAUAAAUGUUUAUCUAAUUUCGAUUGAAUAAAGGGACAAGAAUUGCCUGAUCCUAUUAAUGGUCUCUACUCAGAGGUCAAUACAGAUUUGGCUUUAGGUGUUGGAUGACGUUUUGGGUGAAGAAAGUUUAGAGAAGGACGAUGGCUGGUGUCAUCCGCGUGGGAGUGAGCAUUGCUGGAAAUAGCAGCAGGUAAGUGGUUGAUAUAUACUUUUCUACUCUAGGCACAAGGCCCGAAAUUUCUUGGGAGGGGAUCAGUCGAUUAGAUCGACCCCAGUACACAACUAGUACUUAAUUUAUCGACCCCGAAAGGAUGAAAGGUAAAGUCGACCUCGGCGGAAUUUGACUCAGAACGUAGCAGCAGACGAAAUACUGCUAAGCAUUUCGCCCGGUGUGCUAACGUUUCUUAUUUCUUUACUACCCACAACAGAGGAGACAAACAAGGACAGACAAACGGAUUAAGUCGAUUAUAUCGACCCCAGUGAGUAACUGGUACUUAUUUGAUCGACCCCGAAAGGAUGAAAGGCAAAGUCGACCUCGGCGGAAUUUGAACUCAGAACGAAGCGGCUGACAAAAUACUUAUUUCUUUACUGCCCACAAGGGACUACACACAGAGGGGACAAACAAGGACAGACAAACGGAUUAAGUCGAUUAUAUCGACACCAGUGCGUAACUGGUACUUAUUUAAUCGACCCCGAAAGGAUGAAAGGCUAAGUCGACCUCGGCGGAAUUUGAAAGCAGAACGUAAAGGCAGACGAAAUACUGCAAAGCAUUUCGCCCGGCGUGCUAACGAUUCAGCCAGCUCGCCGGCUUAGGUGGUUGAUAUAUAAUAAGAACGUUCCCAUAAUGUUUGAGAUCAUUCUGAAAGGAGGUUACUGAACUAAGAAGCGAGAGACGGUUGUAUUCCAUAGGCGGAAAGUUUUCAACGGAAUUUCACAUGACAGACACUGUCGAAUUCUUUGCUGAUGUUGAGUAAUGUUGUUUAACCCUAGGCCACGCUGGCUGAGAGAAUGAGAAUCUAGAACAUGGUUUUCAGAGAAGAAAAUUUAUACAAAACUAAACAACAUGAUGCAGCAAUGUAGUGUUUCUCGCACACGCGCACGCGCGCGCACACACACACACACACACACACACACACACACACACACACACACACACACACACACACAUACACACACAAUCAUAUAUACGCACAAUCAUAUACAUACACACACACAAUCUUAUACUCACACACAGUCGUACACACAUACACCUAUAAUCAUGCACACACAUAAUCAUACACACAUAAUCAUACACACACAUACAAUCAUAAGCACAUACACUCAUACGCACACAUACACUCACGCACGCAGGUGCGCGCACACACGUACGUGCGCGCACACGCAUCCACACACUAUGCAUAUAAAUCAUUAACACGCGGUGUACACGUAUGUGAAGACCUGCACUCAUGAUUGUAAAGUUUGUAGUUUCGAUUCCAGGGCCGGGUGAUGGGUUGUGUUUUUGAAUAAAACAUUUCAUUUCGCAUCGCCCCAGUCCUCUAAGCUGGCAAAAAGGAAUAACCCUAUUCUAUAAAUAGCACUGCGUCUCGUACUAAUAGGAAUAGUAGUUGUUGAUAUUUAUAUUGCUGGUGAAAUCGUUGACCGUGCUGUUGGCAGUGAUGAUAUUUGUGGUGAAGGUAUGACAAGUACAAUACCUGGUAGUGUAUGUACAGGGAAGUAGGUGGUGGGGGUUGUUGCAGAGUAAUAAAGGGUGGUGAUGGGGUGACGGUGUCUGAAUAAUUUUUCGAAAUACUGCUGAAUUAACUAAAAUGGUGACGAUGGUGGUAAUGUAAUGAUGGCGGGGAUAAGAUGGGUGAGAUAGUGGUGGUGGUGGUAGUAGUAGUAGUAGUGUUGUACUAGACAAGUAGUGAUGUAAUGCUGGUGGUGGGUAACAGUGGUGGCGGUGGUGACAGAGACGGAGUGAAUGGUGGUGGCUUUUGUCUGUGAUGGCCAUGGUAUUAUUGGCCCAUGAGCAACAAAAUGCACUGGGCCCUAUAGUAUAAGCCACGCCACUCCCCACUCCCUCACGGGCAACUGCACAGUGUGUUUAUGCCUUAUGACGGCACUAGUGAUGGUUGUAGUGGUUGUGAUGAUGAUGCUGAAGGUGUCGACAGCAAUGAUAACAGAAACCGGCGAGCUGGCAGAAUCGUUAGCACACCGGGCGAAAUGCUUAGCGGUAUUUCGUCUGCUGCUACGUUCUGAGUUCAAAUUCCGCUGAGGUCGACUUUGCCUUUCAUCCUUUCGGGGUCGAUAAAUUAAGUACCAGUUACGCACUGGGGGUCGAUGUAAUCGACUUAAUACCUAUGUCUGUCCUUGUUUGUCCCCUCUAUGUUUAGCCCCUUGUGGGUAAUAAAGAAAUAGAAAUAGGUAUUUCGUCUGCCGCUACGUUCUGAGUUCAAAUUCCGCCGAGCUCGACUUUGCCUUUCCUCCUUUCGGAGUCGAUUAAAUAAGUACCAGUUACGCACUGGGGUCGAUGUAAUCGACUUAAUCCCUUUGUCUGUCCUUGUUCGUCCUCUCUGUGUUUAGUCCCUUGUGGGUAGUAAAGAAAUACGUAUUUCGUCUGCCGCUACGUUCUGAGUUCAAAUUCCUCCGAGCUCGACUUUGCCCUUCAUCCUCCCAGGGUCGAUUAAAUAAGUACCAGUUACGCACUGGGGUCGAUAUAAUCGACUUAAUCCGUUUGUCUGUCCCUUCUGUGUUUAGUCCCUUGUGGGUAGUAAAGAAAUAGGUAUUUUGUCUGCCGCUACGUUCUGAGUUCAAAUUCCACCAAGGUCGACUUUGCCUUUCAUCCUUUCGGGGUCGAUUAGAUAGGUAGUAGUUACACACUGGGGUCGAUAUAAUCGACUUAAUCCGUUUGUCUGUCCUUGUUUGUUCCCUCUGUGUGUAGCGCCUUGUGGGCAGUAAAGGAAUAAGAUAUGAUAACAGAAGUGGCAAUAGUGAUGGUUGCGAUGGAGGCGAUGAUGAUGGUAUUGCUGAUGGUGUUCGUGAUAUUAGAGGCGAUAGUGGUAGUCCUCAUAGGUAUCUGCUUGGUGGUUGUGGUAAGAGUGAUGAGAGUGUGACUGUUACACAGAGAAGCUGUUAUAGUUUAACACCUGACCUAGUAAAUCAUAUUACUCCGCUCCUUUGACAAUCUUGAUCCAGCACCCUGAUAUAUAGAGAUAUCUAAAACUAUAUAAACUAUAUAUCCUGUUCUUAUUAAAAAGGGAGAGGGAAAGAGAGAGAGAGAGAGGACAUUUGACUGCUAUUUCUAGCUGCACAUGCAACCACAUAUUGACUCAUUGUUUCGUCCUUCUGUUUAUAGUGGUGAUGAAGAUGUCAGCUGUUAUGGUGAUUGUGGUGAUGAUGAUAGUUGUACUGUGCUUGUUAUUUAACCUCAUAUCAACUCUGAUCGAGUGGACCUAUGCUCACAAUUAUUCCAUACACGCACACACACACACACACACACACACACACAUGGAAGCCGAAUUCAUUAGUGGUAUUUUCGGGAAUAAGAAGUCUGAUCAAUAAGUAUCUGGACAGUUGCCAUAGUAACGAAGCUAAAGUACGCAGAGAGAAGCCGCUCGACAAAGAACUCUGCUGUGCAUAUGCACUAAGUUUUAACGCACUAGCUCAUUUCUGCUGUUUACAGCAGUGCUUGGAAGGAAGGUGUGUAGCGUGUGAUCGUCGCAUUGACCAUAACAGAGAAAGUCGUCAUGGCGAUACCUGCUCAGAGGUCUACGCCAAGUUGCAGAAAGCGUAUGGAGAAGAGUGUAUGAGCCGCACACAGUCGUUCAGAUGCCUCCAAGAUGGCUGAAAAAUGUCGAUAUUGAGGAACGUUCUGGGAGACCCGCAACCAGCAGAACUGAGAAAAACAUCGCAGACGUGCGUGCAGCUGUGAGAGGAAGUCAUCGAAUCACCAUCCGUGAUUUAUCAGAGUAUGUGCAGAUUAGAUACGGUCCAGUCCGUUAUCACUGAAGAUUUGGGUAUGAGAUGCGUUUCUGCCAAGUUUGUGCCAAAACUUUUCAGCUGACCAAAAAGACACAGUUACUUAAGAUCUCCUUGAUUGUGCCGAGAAAGAUGAAAACGUUUUGAAAACUUUGCAUAGGCCUCUGAACAGGUAUCACCAGGCCUUUGGCAAAAUUUGAUGCAGAUUCUCUGCUCAACUUUCUUCCUCAUAGUGAAUGCGAUGAUCACACGCCAUACACCUUCCUUCCAAGCACUGCAGUAAACAGCAGAAAAGGAGCUAGAACAUUAAAACUUAGUGCACAUGCACAGCAAAGUUCGAGGUCAAUCUGUGCCAAGCGGUUUUACUCUGCAUACUUUAGCAUCGUUACUAUGGCAACAGCCCGGAUACUUAUUCAUCAGACCACUACAGGAAUUCAGAGUAGGACGCGACACAGUGGGCCACAAGUACACUUGGGUUAUUUUUUUUACCGAUAUCAACGAUGACUAUUUCAGCAAAAUACUUGAUAUGCCUUUUAUCUUUUACUUGGAUUUUUAGUUGAAUGAAUCAACCCCCCCCCACCAGUACUUCUUUUUAAAACCUGGUACGUAUUAUUUCGGUCUUUUUGGCCGAACCUCUAAGUUAUGGGGAUGCCAACACGCUAACACCGGUUGUCAAGCGGUGGUGGGGGCUCAAACACAGGCGCAAAUACACACACACAUACGACGAGCUAUUUUCAGUUUCCGUCUACCAAAUCUACUCAAAAGAAGCAAGAAGAAAAUGUUUUGAGAACUUUAUCAUUGACAAAAGAGAGGAAAUAUUCAUAUUUUUCUCAAAAUAUACUGCCGGUUUCAAGCUGCUUUUUGACGAUUUAAUCAUCUUAAAAAAUCGAAACUGGUAGCAUAUUGUGAUAAAAAGGUAAAUAUAAUAAUGUUCUCAGAGCAUUUGUUUCUAUUUGAUCUUUAAUAUAAAUUAAUUCGCGUGAAGCCUCUUAAGCUUUUCAACAUACAUAUAUGUAUAUUUAGACAUUUGUUUCGUACUUAAAUAUGUAAAAUAGAAAUAUUAAAUUGAACCUCCAUCGGUUGCAACAAAAAGUUUCCGGAUGGUCUGUCAACAGAACUCUUUACUCAUUAAAUGAUUGCGAAAGUGACUGAGUAUAUAUUUCUUUAUUGCCCACAAGGGGCUAAAUAUAGAGAGGACAAACAAGGACAGACAAAGGGAUUAAGUCGAUUACAUCGACCCCAGUGCGUAACUGGUACUUAAUUUAUCGACCCCGAAAGGAUAAAAGGCUAAGUCAACCUCGGCGGAAUUUGAACUCAGAACGUAGCAGCAGACGAAAUACCGAUUUCUUUACUGCCCACAAGGGGCUAAACAAGGACAGCCAAACGGAUUAAGUCGAUUACAUCGACCCCAGUGCGUAACUGGUACUUAAUUUAUCGACCCCGAAAGGAUGAAAAGCAAAGUCGACCUCGGCGGAAUUUGAACUCAGAAAGUAACGGCCAAGCAUUUCGUCCGGCGUCCUAACGAUUCUGCCAGCUCGCCGCCUUAAAGUGACUGAGUAUUCCACAUGUAGUUCUAUUCUUAAUGUAAUACUCGGAUACAAUCGGCAUAACAUAGUGUGUAACAAAGUUGGCCUUUUGAAUAGCAAGUAUGGCCUAUCUGACUGGUUUCCACACAAUUUCUGUUUAAUAAAUGCCAGGCAUAAGGCUUAGGUUGGUAAAUGAUAUGAGUUGUCAGAAAACAUCGUUCGUUGUCCCUCAUUCAUUUAUUUUAAUCCUUUCCUGUGUUAUUUGAAUUUACACGAAAAAAAUAUUUUUAUUGUAGUGUUUUACGUUUGUUUUUGUAGCUCUAUUUUUCCUCUACAAAAUUUUGUUUUUUGUUUUCGAAAUUUCAAUAAAUUUUACCUAUUUUCAGACAUAUGACGAUGAAGUGCCAAGUAGAAAGAAAUGAAUGAAUUGAUUUGACAAACCAAUGAUUGACCAGAAUACCGCACAGUCGAACCUCACAUUUGUGAGACAAACUUAUUAGCUAAACGGUAAUGCCUCUGUCUACGCACACACACACGCACGCACACACACAAACGCACACACACACACACACACACACACACACACACACACACACACACACACACACACACACACACACAUAAACACAUGUAUCUACAUUCAACCACCGCAGAGCGUCAAUUCUAAUUACUUUCAAUUGUAUUUAUUUUUCCAAAAAUCGAUAUCACGGCGAGCUAACGACGAAACCUUUACAUGGUACGAAGAUGUGCUAGAAAUAACAAUGAAAUCUCCCUUCGUCGCACACCCUUCUCUCUUAUAAAAGGAAGAAGAUAUUAGGUAAUGUAAUCGUAAAUUCCCAGUACCUGAAAGGAACGGAAUAGUCAAUUCUGCGAUUGCUUUCAACAUUGGUCUGCUUCAAUCCUAACUUAAUAAAGACAACGACGACAACGUCAGCAGCAGCAGCAGCAGCAGCAGCAACAGCAGCAGCAGCAACAGCACAACAACAACAACAACAACAACAACAACAACGACAACAACAACAACAACAACAAUGAUAACAGCGACAACAACGUCACCGAUAUUUUAAUUCAAUAUUGUUUUUACUGUCUCUAUGCUAUAUGUAUUCAUUUCCGAAUUUAAUUUUAAAUAAUUGAUAUUUAUUCAUUCUUCGUUCAUUCCGAUAUUAAUUCGCAAAAUAGUUCAUAAAAUAUUUCAAUCACAGCCGGUUCGCCCGCGUAACCUAUUGGGUUGUUCAGACACCACUGAACAUACGACAGACAGACAGACAGACACACACACACACUAUGCAACACACACACGUAUCAUCUGCACGCAUACAUAGAGAAUAGAUAUUAAAAUAUACUCAGACACAAACACAAAUAAAUACACAUAUACCUAAACACAUAUGCACACACAUAUAUACUCGAAGACGUGCCUGGUUCAAUAAAUGCAUAUUCACAAUAUAAGUACAAGCAAGUAAUGGCGAAUCUAUAGCAUGUGUGUCACCAGUAAAAUACCUCGGCUUUAUGUGAUUUCUCUGAAAUAUCAUGCUAUAAAAUCUAAGUGAGAAUCUAAAAAAACAAAAAACAAAAAAACAAAGCAAAAACAAAACAAAAGACGAAAACGGGUGUGUAAACAACAGAUGUAUUAGUUUAACGCUCGGGAAGUGAGAAAGUCUUUUACGUUUCGAGUCUACGCUCUUCCACAGAAAGGAACACAGAAACAGAGAAAGAAAAUAAAAAGGUUUAGUAGCUAGCGAUCCAUCAUGGCUUUUACCUAAAGCUAAAAUACAUGCAUACACACAAUACUCCAAUAAUUGGGUUUAAAUGAAAUUAAAAUUUCAGCAUGUUGGGCUAAAUGGGAUCGUUAUCAGUGCUAUAUACGUAUCAUUUCUCUUCAUUAUCACCAAAAUUGUCAAUACAUUUUUCCGAGAGUUGAAAUUCAGAAUGGUUUUUCAAAGAAAUCUCGUUCAGAAUUAUCUCAAAAAUAGUUCAUUAUUCAUCUUCGUUUUCAAAAAUGUGUCCCUUAGAUCAAUCCUACUCAAAAUGGUGGUCCACGGACCGGUGCCGGUCCGCGAGCCAUCAGCUGCCGGUACGCGGCGAGUUUCCAGAAAAAAAAAGAAACAUAAAGUGCUUAUAAAAUGUUUAUAAAGUGCUUAUGUAAUAUUAUAUCAUUUGUUUACAAAAUAAAUAUAGGAUAAAAAAAAAUUGUCAACUUUUAGCAUAUUCAUUAUAUAUAUUGUUUCCGGUAUAAAUUAAUAUUACUAAGAAAUAUUACAGGUCCCUGGCACAUUGGAAAGAAAAAGCUGCCGCUACGCCAUAUCAGAUAUUUUGAGAAGCACUGUUUUAGAUCUUUCAGGUGACGUAACAAAGAACUUGUUUGACUCGCUCUUUGAGCUUUAUGGCAGCUGCAAGAGCACGGCAAAACUAGCAGCUUUAGUCACUGAAAAUAUUGGGAGAUAACCGCUAUGUGUACGAGGAUAUUGUUGCGGGGAUGUCGAAACUGCUUUUAUACCUUUCUCCGCUUUCUCACGAUACUUUCGGUUAGAUCUCUAUAGUAAUCUACAUCCAAAUUGAUAUCAAAUCCAAUGAAGAUUACACUGUAACAAUUCUCAGACAACUGAAAGCAUCAUCGGUCUUUUGGAGCUGGUUCCUGUUUUGAAAUUCUUUGUUGGCAUUUCAAAUGAUGUGGAACUUUUUCGUGUGGUAGAAUGUACAUGACUUUGACCCCUUUUUUUAAACACACGAGCCAUAUCUAACACUGCUUAUGACAUGAUAGUGAUCUUCCUUUUGUGUUUAGAUUUCCAAAUAUACUUUGAAAGUAAUGUGUCAUAUUCUGGGUGGUGAUUAAGGAAUGAGCUGUUUGUUGAGUUGGUGCUGGCCAUUCGAGAUGGAGCGAUAUGCAUGUCAAUCAAGCAAAACAAGAGGCCCCACUAGCCGGUCCGAUAAUCUUUUAUAGUUGCCUAACCUCCUUUAUAGUUGUUGUUUAUCCGCGGUUUAUAAAUUUACAUCGUGACGACAUGUGUUUAUUAAAUAUUUUCUAUAUGAUUUUAGGAUACAUAGUUAUUCAAUACAAUCCUGUGUUGGUAUGUGUUUUUGAAUCUUUUUCGAUUUCUUUCAGGUUAAUGUUCGAUCAUAAGGCAGGAACAGUU